rnacentral:sRNA from 1 species
GCGGCGGGGGAGGCUGAAGCCCKUCUCGCCCGCAGGUCAGGUACAGUGCGGCCAAGUGCACUGCCGGCUGCCCUACACCGCGCCGCCCGUGCACCUCAAGGCAGACAUGGAAGGACCGCUACCCAACAGGGGGGAGAAGGUAAUCGCGCUCCCUCUUUCAGGCUUUGGGCUCAA